UACAGAGGCCUCGAGCGUUAGGCGGAAUCACUGGGCUUAAAGCGUGUGUAGGCGGACUUCUAAGUACCUUGUGAAAUCCCACGGCUCACCCGUGGAACUGCUCGGUAUACUGGUUGUCUUGAGCCUUCUAGGGGCGAGUGGAACAAAUGGUGGAGCGGUGAAAUGCGUAGAUAUCAUUUGGAACGCCAAUGGUGAAAACAACUCGCUGGGGAAGUGCUGACGCUGAGACACGAAAGCCAGAGGAGCGAACGGG
rnacentral:rRNA from 1 species